rnacentral:rRNA from 1 species
UCGGGGAAUCUGUGGUUAGGUGUUGCAUGGCUGUCGUCAGCUCGUGUCGUGAGAUGUUGGGUUAAGUCCCGCAACGAGCGCAACCCUUGUCGUUAGUUGCCAUCAUUCAGUUGGGCACUCUAACGAGACUGCCGACCUUCAAGUCGGAGGAAGGUGGGGAUGACGUCAAGUCCUCAUGGCCCCUAUGUCCAGGGCUACACACGUGCUACAAUGGUCGGUACAAAGGGCUGCGAAACCGCGAGGUGAAGCCAAUCCCAAAAAACCGACCUCAGUACGGAUUGGAGUCUGCAACUCGACUCCAUGAAGGCGGAAUCGCUAGUAAUCCCUGAUCAGCAUGGCAGGGGUGAAUACGUUCCCGGGCCUUGUACACACCGCCCGUCACACCAUGGGAGUCGAUUGCUCCAGAAGUGGCUGAGCUAACCCGCAAGGGAGGCAGGUCCCCAAGGAGUGAUUGGUAACUGGGGUGAAG